UUUUGUGUGGAACUCGACGAGGGAAGAACGAUGUUUGCAUCAUCGUAGACGUACAUAUGUAUAUCACAAAAGCUCUAACUGCAAGAACUAAAUACCAAGCUUCAAAAGCGAUGCAUCUCAGAGAUUAGAAUAAGGACUAGCGAUCAAAAUUUCUUACAAAAAGAAACCAACAAGGUCAAGAUAUCUAUUUCCAAUUGUAAUCUUUCACAAAUUCCAUUUAAAAAAUUGAACAUGAACUCUGCAAAGAAAUUCCUUACAGAAUAUUCAGCAAUUUUCCAAAUUGUUAUGUGAUUUACGACACAUCUGAAAUCUCAAAAAGUAAAAAAAAAGAAAAAAAGAAAACCCUUCCCAUAUAGCAUAUUAUAUAGCUGACAUCCAACUGCCGUUACAAAUUGGCCUCCAUUUCAGAUUACAAUUCGACUUGUUCGACCCCCGUUUACCUCGGCCACCAUAACAAAUGCUCAAGUGGUGAUGCGAUGUUUGGAGUUAUACAGAAUGAAUGAAUAAAAAGAAGAAGAAAAAUAUAACAAAAAAAAACAUGGCACCCUUCUUCUUUAACAUCAUCAGAGGAAAUAAAUGGUAGUGCUGAAAUAGAGAGGAAAAAAGGCUACCCUUUUGAAUGGCAUUAUAAGUGGGUGGGCGGUAGAUGACAACCCUUAAAAGUAUAUUUUUUAUUGCCAAAAUAUGGUAAGUGAUCCUUUCAAACAAAGGAUUUACACUAAAGUGAAUGAAAUAAAUGUUGAGAUUUCUUCAAAUCCUGACAUCAAAAAAACACACAUGAGAGGUAAAUCCACUCUCCUGAUUUGUGAUUUGAUAAAUUGAUAAAAUUGUAUUGGUCCUUGGAGCUAUUAGCAGAGAUUAGAGAUAUUUGUGGCAAUCGAUUUGUGAAUUAAAUGAAAACAAAACCAAUGAAAACAAAAAAAUAGGUGAAAAUUAAUUAUUAUUUGUCAUCGAUUGGCCUAAGGCAUAAAGGCCAAAAGCCGUGUAGAAGCGGUUGUCCUAAUCGCGCGAACCAUGAGCUCCAAUGGUCAUAAAUUUUCGUAAUUAUGCGAGCAAUUUAAUUAUUUUCAAGCGGAAGCGGAAGGGUAAUUUGUGUCACUAAUUGCGUGCAAAUUGGAAAUUCCUCGGGAGGUUAUUAUUAUUUAUAUUACAGGUGGCUCUAUGGCUUAUUGGCUUAUAAAACACAACGGAGGCGCAUUUGAAUUGAGUAUAAUUACAGAUUAAUUCAUAUAUACCUACAAACUCGGGUAUAUGCAUGAAAGGAGCUUUUGAGUUCUGCUUUUGUUGGUGUUAUCUGUGCAAACAUGCACAGUGUUGGUGCGGUUUUAGGUGAAGUGGCGUAUAUUUGGGGCAAUAAAGCCAGCGAUGAACAGGUUGGUAUUUUAAUAUGACUGGAGAGGCCAUAAACUAUAUACGGGACUGAGUUGAUAAACAAUUUAUUGUUAUUAACCUACCGCAGCAGCGUAUGUGUAUAGUCGUUUUAAUAUUAAUUGGACAUUAAUCGAGCUGACGGAAUAUAAUUAAAUCGAAACUAUCGGAUUUUGUUAAUAAAUACAAAAAAAAAAAAGAACUGCCAAUUUAAU